rnacentral:rRNA from 1 species
UACGUAGGGACCAAGCGUUGUUCGGAAUUACUGGGCGUAAAGGGCGCGUAGGCGGCGACUCAAGUUAGAUGUGAAAGUCCUGGGCUUAACCUGGGGACUGCAUUUGAUACUGGGUUGCUUGAAUUCGGGAGAGGAUAGCGGAAUUCCCAGUGUAGAGGUGUAAUUCGUAGAUAUUGGGAAGAACACCGGUGGCGAAGGCGGCUAUCUGGACCGACAUUGACGCUGAGGCGCGAAACCGUGGGGAGCAAACAGG